UACGUAGGGGGCGAGCGUUGUCCGGAUUCAUUGGGCGUAAAGAGCUCGUAGGCGGCUUGGCAAGUCGGGUGUGAAAUCUCGGAGCUUAACUCCGAAACUGCAUUCGAUACUGCCGUGCUUGAGGACUGGAGAGGAGACUGGAAUUUACGGUGUAGCGGUGAAAUGCGUAGAUAUCGUAAGGAAGACCAGUGGCGAAGGCGGGUCUCUGGACAGUUCCUGACGCUGAGGCACGAAGGUCAGGGGAGCAAACGGG
rnacentral:rRNA from 1 species